rnacentral:rRNA from 1 species
UAGCCGUAAACGAUACUCGCUAGGUGUCGGCCACGGUGCGACCGUUGUCGGUGCCGUAGGGAAGCCGUGAAGCGAGCCACCUGGGAAGUACGGUCGCAAGGCUGAAACUUAAAGGAAUUGGCGGGGGAGCACUACAACGGGUGGAGCCUGCGGUUUAAUUGGACUCAACGCCGGAAAACUCACCGGGGGCGACAGCAACAUGAAGGCCAGGCUGAAGACUUUGCCGGAUUAGCUGAGAGGAGGUGCAUGGCGUAGUCGUGU